GGUGAAGUAGCUCAGUUGGUAGAGCAAUGGACUGAAAAUCCAUGUGUCGGCGGUUCGAUUCCGUCCUUCACCA
rnacentral:tRNA from 1 species